AGCCCAUUAUAUGUACCCAAGAGUUCAACAGGAAUAGAAAUGUGUGCUAAUGGAUUUGAAAGAUCUACUGUCUUACAGAUAAGAACAAAGGAUAUCUCAGGACAAACUCAAUUAAACUCCAAAUGGUACUGCAAGCAGAACCACACAUGGACACGCCAUUCUUCCAAGAAUCCUUAAAUCAACCUCAGGAGAAGGCCCAACUGCUGCUCCCCUGCAUGCUCCUUUUCAGCAGGAAGUGGCCACAAAGAAUCAUCGUCCAACACCCCCUAACAGCAGUUAGGUUUGCUUCUCUUGAGGGGGGAAAUAAUACAGGUGUUACUUAAAAAAGUUUUUUUAGGCAGAGAGAGAGGCUAAAAGGAGUUCUUGGUAAGGCUUUUUCUGUUAAUAAAAGCAAACCCCGAACCAUUUCUUUUCUAACAGAAAAACCGCUUGAAGGGCCGGGCCAGGAAGCUUUGAUACGCAAAUGCCGCCCGUUAGAAAUGGUCCACCCAAUAUGGCGACUCCUGCCUUCUUCUUGUCACCAUGUGUGCCAAGUGUCAUGGCUACCUCCAGAUAAUACCAUGUGUUCAGAACAUCAUGGCGAUCCGUAUUUGCAUAUUAAAGAGCUAAGGUGGGAAAUUUCGCCAGGUUUUUCACAGGCAAUGUAAAUAACAUACCUGGUCAAACCAAUCCCCUGGGCCCUAUGCAAACCAGACACCACCUCCUCCAGCAUCCCAAUAUAAGCAACCACUUUUCCUGCCACACACGGGGUUUCUCGUCGUUCGAAUCCCCCCUCCCUUUGUCUCUGUACCGGGGAGCUGUUUUCUUCCUUGCUUCUCUCUUGCCUAAUAAACUCUCCGCUCCUUAAAACUACUCCACACGUGUCUGUGUCAUUUUAUCUAAACUGGCGCGAGACCAAGGACCCUGGUGUUCCUUCAGUCAUCGGAGCCAUGUCAUUUACACCUCUCUUGGUCCUAUUCUUGUCUCACUCUCCUUUGCCUUCCAUACACACAGGCACAUAAAAAUGAGACUUUUAAAAAAUUAAGUUUAUACUCACAUCUCUGUUACCUCCCACAACAAUAACUAGAUCGUGAGCUCCUUGGGAAAAAGUCUGGGUCUCGGGGGCCAAAUUUUUUUCCAGUGCCUCAUGUACACGAGGUCAUAAACAAAUGCCCUUCCUGAGGCUACCCAAG
rnacentral:lncRNA from 1 species